AUUUUUUUUCCAGGCUUUGCUUUAUGGUGUUGCAUGGGCUUCGUGGGUUCCAUAUUUUAGCUCUUCAUUGGGUAUCAUCUAUGUUCUGGCCAAACCAGCAAUAUAUGCGAUAAUUUCUGGUGAAGUACUGUCAACUGACCAGGGAAAAGCGCAAGGUUUUAUUGCAACCGUGCAGUCUGUAGCUAUAUUGUUGGCACCACAAUUUAUGAGUCCACUGACCUCUUACUUCAUUUCAGAGGAAGUGCCCUUCGACUGCAAAGGUUUCAGCUUUAUUGUGGCGAGUUUCUUCUUGGUCAGUCCUCUUCCUCUCACGGUCAUUUCAGAGG